rnacentral:lncRNA from 1 species
GAGGAGAGUGAGGACAGUUCCAGCACUAGAAGGAAAGUUCAAAGGGUGUGGGAGACAUCCUAUUGUGGUCCUGCAUGGAUUCAAGCUGAGCCAAUCACGAAGACAAAAGAUAGAAGGAGUUUAAUUUGGUUCGGACUCGGUUUGGACCCACCAGACUGACAUGGAGUAAAAAUAGCAUAACUCCUCCAUAUGAAGUCGGAUUGGGGUGAGUAAAUAGUCAUUAGAAAGCUUAUUUCAUAAACUUUCAAACAGAUCUGGCCCUUCUAUCAUAUUCAUUCUGAGGAGGGUACAAUCAUCAGAGCAAGGCGUCGGUUGUAAUUUGGGUUUUCUGUUUUGUAACAUAGUCGAGUCCAAGUCGGCUCGAAACUAUUGUAGAGUUAUAUAUAACCACAUACACGACCUGAGAGGUCAGACCACAUUUAUUAUUCAUCAAAACUUGCAGCAUA